GAUGAACGCUGGCGGCGUGCCUAAUACAUGCCAGUCGAGCGAACAGACGAGGAGCUUGCUCCUCUGACGUUAGCGGCGGACGGGUGAGUAACACGUGGAUAACCUACCUAUAAGACUGGGAUAACUUCGGGAAACCGGAGCUAAUACCGGAUAAUAUAUUGAACCGCAUGGUUCAAUAGUGAAAGACGGUUUUGCUGUCACUUAUAGAUGGAUCCGCGCCGCAUUAGCUAGUUGGUAAGGUAACGGCUUACCAAGGCAACGAUGCGUAGCCGACCUGAGAGGGUGAUCGGCCACACUGGAACUGAGACACGGUCCAGACUCCUACGGGAGGCAGCAGUAGGGAAUCUUCCGCAAUGGGCGAAAGCCUGACGGAGCAACGCCGCGUGAGUGACGAAGGUCUUCGGAUCGUAAAACUCUGUUAUUAGGGAAGAACAAAUGUGUAAGUAACUAUGCACGUCUUGACGGUACCUAAUCAGAAAGCCACGGCUAACUACGUG
rnacentral:rRNA from 1 species